rnacentral:rRNA from 1 species
GAUGAACGCUGGCGGCGUGCCUAAUACAUGCAAGUCGAGCGGACGGACGAGAAGCUUGCUUCUCUGAUGUUAGCGGCGGACGGGUGAGUAACACGUGGAUAACCUACCUAUAAGACUGGGAUAACUUCGGGAAACCGGAGCUAAUACCGGAUGAUAUUUUGAACCGCAUGGUUCAAAAGUGAAAGACGGUCUUGCUGUCACUUAUAGAUGGAUCCGCGCUGCAUUAGCUAGUUGGUAAGGUAACGGCUUACCAAGGCAACGAUGCAUAGCCGACCUGAGAGGGUGAUCGGCCACACUGGAACUGAGACACGGUCCAGACUCCUACGGGAGGCAGCAGUAGGGAAUCUUCCGCAAAGGGCGAAAGCCUGACGGAGCAACGCCGCGUGAGUGAUGAAGGUCUUCGGAUCGUAAAACUCUGUUAUUAGGGAAGAACAUAUGUGUAAGUAACUGUGCACAUCUUGACGGUACCUAAUCAGAAAGCCACGGCUAACUACGUG